ensembl:snoRNA
UCUUCACUGAUGAUUUACACAGUGACUUUCGUUCUUCUGAACCUACUGAAGCCAGCCUUUCUGUCCUGAGAAGA